rnacentral:rRNA from 1 species
UUUUGCACAAUGGGCGAAAGCCUGAUGCAGCGACGCCGCGUGGAGGAUGACGGCCUUCGGGUUGUAAACUACUUUUGUAGGGGAAAAUGAUGAUGGUACCCUAUGAAUAAGCCACGGCUAACUCUGUGCCAGCAGCCGCGGUAAGACAGAGGUGGCGAGCGUUGUUCGGAAUUACUGGGCUAAAGGGCGCGAGGCGGUGGAUAGUCUGGGGUGAAUCCUAAGCUAACUAUAGACUGCCCUGAAACUGAUACUUAGUCGGUAGGGAAGGCGAAUUCCUGGUGAGCGGUAAAUGCGAGUUCAGAGAAGGCCUGUGGUGAGCGCCUUCUGGACUUGCUGCGUGGCCAAAUAG